AUUGAACGCUGGCGGCAGGCCUAACACAUGCAAGUCGAUCGCGUGGCGGACGGGUGAGUUAUGUCUGGGAAACUGCCUGAUGGAGGGGUGUCUCUACUGGAAACGGUCUCUAAUACCGCAUACCUUGAGAUGUGCCCAUCUGGGUUUAGCUGGUUGGUGGGGUAAGGGCUCACCAAGGAGACGAUCCCUAGCUGGUCUGAGAGGAUGACCAGCCACACUGGAACUGAGACACGGUCCAGACUCCUACGGGAGGCAGCAGUGGGGAAUAUUGCACAAUGGGCGAAAGCCUGAUGCAGCCAUGCCGCGUGUAUGAAGAAGGCCUUCGGGUUGUAAAGUACUUUCAGCGGGGAGGCGUUACCCGCAGAAGAAGCACCGGCUAACUCCGUGCCAGCAGCCGCGGUAAUAC
rnacentral:rRNA from 1 species